UGCGUAGGCGGUUUGAUAAGUCAGAGGUGAAAGCCCACAGCUCAACUGUGGAAUUGCCUUUGAUACUGUUAGACUUGAAUCAGGUUGAGGUUGGCGGAAUGUGGCAUGUAGCGGUGAAAUGCAUAGAUAUGCCAUAGAACACCAAUUGCGAAGGCAGCUGACUAGACCUGUAUUGACGCUGAGGCACGAAAGCGUGGGGAGCGAACAGGAUUAGAUACCCUGGUAGUC
rnacentral:rRNA from 1 species